rnacentral:lncRNA from 1 species
AAUUUGGCUUUACUUUAAAUUCUUUUCCAUUCCUCCAGCUAAUCACAAAGAAAUGGCCUCUUGUCUAUUGACUAUAUUGCAGCUGAACAUUGAUUGAAACUUUUGGCCAUUGGCAAACCUCUCUGUAUAAUAAGCUGUGUGUGAACCCAUAGUGAAUGCAGACCCUCCCCAGCCGUGCCUUCCUUCACCGACUUCACCAUCCUACGAGGAAACCUUGCUUACUUCUGAGGGCUGCAGCUCCGCAGUGUGGAAGCCGAUAAGAAAUCUGUGCUGGCCCUGCCAGGAUCUCUAAGGAAAAGGGCCCAAAACACAUGACUCAAACAACUGCUGGGGCCCUCAAGGAACUCCCUCUGGCCUCGGGGACUGUGGCAGCUGCCAGGGAGCCGCAGCAGUCUGUAAAUAGGACGGGCUGCCCAGAAACAUGGAGCUGCUUUCUCCUGCUGAGCACCCCCUUUCAAGAUACCAAGAAGCCACCAUUUAGGCACAGGUGGGAGUUCCAGAAAGCAAAUAUUAUGGGAAGAUGUCCAAGUCAGCACACAGAGGCU